GACGAACGCUGGCGGCGUGCUUAACACAUGCAAGUCGAACGGAAAGGCCCUGCUUUUGUGGGGUGCUCGAGUGGCGAACGGGUGAGUAACACGUGAGUAACCUGCCCUUGACUUUGGGAUAACUUCAGGAAACUGGGGCUAAUACCGGAUAGGAGCUCCUGCUGCAUGGAGGGGGUUGGAAAGUUUCGGCGGUUGGGGAUGGACUCGCGGCUUAUCAGCUUGUUGGUGGGGUAGUGGCUUACCAAGGCUUUGACGGGUAGCCGGCCAGGGAGGGUGACCGGCCACAUUGGGACUGAGAUGCGGCCCAGACUCCUACGGGAGGCAGCAGUGGGGAAUAUUGCACAAUGGGCGGAAGCCUGAUGCAGCAACGCCGCGUGCGGGAUGACGGCCUUCGGGUUGUAAACCGCUUUCGCCUGUGACGAAGCGUGAGUGACGGUAAUGGGUAAAGAAGCACCGGCUAACUACGUG
rnacentral:rRNA from 1 species